UACAGGGGGGGCAAGCGUUGUUCGGAAUUACUGGGCGUAAAGGGUCUGUAGGUGGCCAACUAAGUCAGACGUGAAAUCCCUCAGCUUAACUGGGGAACUGCGUCUGAUACUGGAUGGCUUGAGUGUGGGAGAGGAAUGCGGAAUUCCAGGUGUAGCGGUGAAAUGCGUAGAUAUCGAGAGGAACACCGGUGGCGAAGGCGGCCAACUGGACGAAGACUGACGCUGAGACACGAAAGCGUGGGGAGCAAACAGG
rnacentral:rRNA from 1 species